AUUAUCUAUGUUGACUGCAGCAAAUUAUAGAAACAUGUUAUAGAAAACUAGCAUUGUCAUUAAGCAGAAAUUUAGUCACACUCUAGUAAGCUUUGAGAUUCAUUCCCACUGAAGUUGAUUAACCAUUCAAUACUUCCUAAAGCAAUGAAUUAAAUAGCAGUCAUGUGUUGUAGUCAACUUGAUCUACUAUUCAACUCAUAAAUGUUUAAGAGGAACAUUAACCACAUCAUUUUUACUGUUCUUGGAGAGCCACUAAAAGCCAUGGGCACAGCAUUUUCCCUCUUGAUCUAAAUCAGGAAAAAAUAACUUUAAAAAAAAAAUCAUCAUCAUCAUCAUCAUCAUCACCCUUAAAGGCUUGAGACAAUUUGUUCGACUAAAACCCUUAAAGGCUGGAGCCAGUUGGUUCAACUAAAACCCUUAAAGGCUGGAGUCAAUUUGUUCAACUGAAGUGCUUAAAGGCUGGAGUCAUAGCUGGCUGCAGUCUAAUGACUGAGACAUUUAAAAGACAUUGGACUACAGUCAUCUUGGAGCACCACCUUGAAGGGUUUAGUUGAACAAAUCAACUCCAGAACCUGCUUUUUAAGCCUGGUAUUUAAUCUAGCAGUUUCUUUUACCAAGCCUCUAAGUUAUGGGGGACAUAAACACACCAAAUCAGGUUGUCAAGGUGCUGUUGGGUAAAAACAAAAAAAAACACACACAUGUAUGUAGGUAUACACACGUCUAUAUAUAUCAUCAUCAUCAUCGUUUAACGUCCGCUUUCCAUGCUAGCAUGGAUUGGACAGUUUGGCUGAGGACUGGUGAACCAGAUGGAUACACCAGGCUCCAAUCUGAUUUGGCAGAGUUUCUACAGCUGGAUGCCCUUCCUAACACCAACCACUCCGAGAGUGUAGUGGGUACUUUUACGUGCCACCAGCACGAAGGCCAGUCAUGCAGUACUGGCAACGGCCACGCUCAAAAUGGUGUAUUUUACGUGCCACCUGCACAGGAGCCAGUCCAGUGGCACUGGCAACGACCUCCAGAUUUUGACUCAAAUAUGGUCUUAACAAUUGAAGAAAGUGUAUUUCUUAUUGAACACAUAUUUCGAGAAGGUGGUAGAUACAUAGACAUUGCUUACAAAAUCAUUUAUAAUUUUCAUUCAUAUACUUUCCUUGUAUUCUAUAUUACAACACGUACAUUAAUAAAAAAUAUACAUGCACA